UCUCCGUUGGUGAACCAGCGGAGGGAUCAUUACCGAGUUUACAACUCCCAAACCCCUAUGUGAACGUUACCAAACUGUUGCCCCGGCGGGAAAUUCAUGCCCCGGGCGCGUCGCAGCCCCGGACCAAGGCGCCCGCCGGAGGACCAACCAAAACUCUUUUGUAUGUCCCUCGCGGACUUUUAUAAUUCUGAACCAUCUCGGCGCCCCUAGCGGGCGUUUCGAAAAUGAAUCAAAACUUUCAACAACGGAUCUCUUGGUUCUGGCAUCGAUGAAGAACCAGC
rnacentral:misc_RNA from 1 species